rnacentral:lncRNA from 1 species
AGUUGCUUUUAAUGGAUGUGGCUUUCUGAGAAAGGUGGAAGAGAACUGUACUCACAUCAUAAGGGGACCUUCAGAUGGGAAAAACAGACAAAGACUUUUCCACAGGAACACAGAGCUAGGAUUAGAGCUCUGCACCAUGAGAUCCCUAAGCCUGUGCCCAGGCCGCCACACUAAGCUCUCUUAUACUAUGAUGUCACUGAUAAAAAGCUUGACAGCAUGAGUUCCGAAUUCUGGACCUCAAACCAAGCUUCACAGCCUGACUUGGGCUACAGGAGGGAGGAGCACAGGACCGUCAGCAAAGAUCUACUGGAACCAGGAUUGCAGAUAAAGGUGUCGCUGGAAUCAGGAUAUAGGUAGGUG